rfam:Mesitornis unicolor contig8857, whole genome shotgun sequence.
GGUCGAUGAUGAUGAGUAAAAGGUCUGAGAGCACAGGGGAAUUGCACUCCAUUACCCUCCUGGCUCCCAGCAGUCCCUGCUCUGUCAUGCCGUAGUAGAGCUAUGAUCGAGGAAGGGAUUGCUGAUAGUUUGGGAUUAAUUCAGUUCCAGUUCUCCACAGUGAAGGGAGUUGUGGUGCUGAAUGUCAUCCGACAGGGCUGGUCAAGAGGAGCUUGUGGUAGUGGAGUGUCUUCAUUUGUUGUGUGUGAUCUCAAGUUUUCAAGCUGAGACC